GAUGAAGAACGCAUCGAAAUGCGAUAAGUAGUGUGAAUUGCAGAAUUCAGUGAAUCAUCGAAUCUUUGAACGCACAUUGCGCCCCUUGGUAUCCCGAGGGGCAUGCCUGUUCGAGCGUCAUUUCACCACUCAAGCCUGGCUUGGUGUUGGGCGACGUCCCCUUUAGGGACGCGCCUCGAAACGCUCGGCGGCGUGGCACCGGCUUUAAGCGUAGCAGAAUCUUUCGCUUUGGAAGUCGGGGCCCCGCCUGCCGGAAUACCUACUCGUAAGGUUGACCUCGGAUCAGGCAGGGAUACCCGCUGAACUUAAGCAUAUCAAUAAGCGGAGGA
rnacentral:misc_RNA from 1 species